AUUGAACGCUGGCGGCAUGCCUUACACAUGCAAGUCGAACGGCAGCACGGGUGCUUGCACCUGGUGGCGAGUGGCGAACGGGUGAGUAAUACAUCGGAACGUACCUUAUCGUGGGGGAUAACGCAGCGAAAGUUGCGCUAAUACCGCAUACGCCCUGAGGGGGAAAGCGGGGGGCCGUAAGGCCUCGCGCGAUUAGAGCGGCCGAUGUCUGAUUAGCUUGUUGGUGAGGUAAAAGCUCACCAAGGCGAUGAUCAGUAGCUGGUCUGAGAGGACGAUCAGCCGCACUGGGACUGAGACCCGGCCCAGACUCCUACGGGAGGCAGCAGUGGGGAAUUUUGGACAAUGGGGGCAACCCUGAUCCAGCAAUGCCGCGUGAGUGAAGAAGGCCUUCGGGUUGUAAAGCUCUUUUGUCAGGGAAGAAACAGCAGCUCUAACACAGUCUGCGAAUGACGGUACCUGAAGAAUAAGCACCGGCUAACUACGUGCCAGCAGCCGCCGUAA
rnacentral:rRNA from 1 species